rnacentral:rRNA from 1 species
GACGAACGCUGGCGGCGUGCUUAACACAUGCAAGUCGAACGGAAAGGCCCUGCUUUUGUGGGGUGCUCGAGUGGCGAACGGGUGAGUAACACGUGAGUAACCUGCCCUUGACUUUGGGAUAACUUCAGGAAACUGGGGCUAAUACCGGAUAGGAGCUCCUGCUGCAUGGUGGGGGUUGGAAAGUUUCGGCGGUUGGGGAUGGACUCGCGGCUUAUCAGCUUGUUGGUGGGGUAGUGGCUUACCAAGGCUUUGACGGGUAGCCGGCCUGAGAGGGUGACCGGCCACAUUGGGACUGAGAUACGGCCCAGACUCCUACGGGAGGCAGCAGUGGGGAAUAUUGCUCAAUGGGUGGAAGCCUGAUGCAGCAACGCCGCGUGCGGGAUGACGGCCUUCGGGUUGUAAACCGCUUUCGCCUGUGACGAAGCGUGAGUGACGGUAAUGGGUAAAGAAGCACCGGCUAACUACGUG